UUUCUUUCUUCAUCUCCACCACACCACCUGCAACAGUACCACCACAGUGUCGGCGGCCACUCCCUCAACAUACAGAGGUAUCCCACCGACAAGACACCACCACCGUAUCCCCACUCAUCUUCAUCUCUGUCCCGAUGUGUUACAGAUCUGGGAUUUUCAGUGGCGAGAUGGAUUUACAGAUCUGGGAUGUUCACGAAUCGAAGGGUGAAAGCCAUGGCGAAUGAGGGAGUGAAUUGUGUUUGGUGGGGAUUUUAACGAAGUGCAGAUGUUACAGAUCAUGUUCUUGUUCUUCAUGUAUUCUUUUGAAUUAUAUAACUACGGUCCAUUUGUUUGUUUCUUUUAG
rnacentral:lncRNA from 1 species